UAUUGUCAACACUGACUGGUAGCGACUCCCCAGUAUUUCAGGCAGGAGGUUUUCCCAGCCUCCCCAGAGAUGCCAGGGAUUAAACUGGAGACCUUCUGCACGCAGAGCAGGAGCUGUGCACCCCAUUUGUCUGUCUUUGCCAGUUAGUGUGUAUUGUCUACCAUGGGCCAAGUGGCACAGUGUGUUCCCUGCUACGGAUCUACAACCCUUCCCAGUCACUCUUCUUAAGCAUCCAUAGGUGUCCUGAGGGUAUAAAGAAGGCAACUAGACUGUUCUCAAGGUUUACCUGAGCAGAAGACCAAGGAGAAGAUAAUUGUGUGUGCGCUCAUGCACAUACAUGUGCAGGAUGGAAACCUAUACCUGUCUUCAGCCCAGCCUUUAGUUUGCCCAACUUGCAGCACCAAGCACACCUUGCUCUCUGAUUAUCAAAGUCUUGCUCUCUGAUACUUCUUGAUCCUGGACUUGAGUUCUCACCAACCAGCUCAGGCUAAGCAUUCAGCUCUUCAUCUCUCUGAACAAUAACCCAGCAGAACUUCGAGACUUGAGAAACUUCAGUUCAGUAUUUGCAGCCUUGUGACUUCUUUAUCAAAGACAUUUAGGCUUCAAUGCUACAGCUGCUGUCCUGGGAACAAGCUCCAUUGAACUCAAUAGGGCUUACUUUUGAGUGAACAAAUACAGGGUUGCACUGGAAGUGAAAGUGGUGGUGGGAGUCAGAGGCCAGAAUCAACAGUGGGGUAUGGCUGAGACAGAUGUUGUAGGAAGAAUAUUAACACCACAGAAAUUACAUCCCUGGAAGCAGAAGACCAAGCUGCUUUGAUCAAAAUUUUCACCCCCAAAAUGGAUCUCAUUCCCAGGAACAGUGAAAUUAUUCCAGCAAUGAAAUGUUCAAGCAAAUUAAGGUUUAUUGUUCUAUAAUAUGGCUAAAUUUUUCAAUUCCCCAGGAGCCAACAUAAAGCAGAGGAAACUAUUCGAGUCCAGGUUCAUUGUUCCAAAUAAAUUCAUUGUAUCUGAGCUCCCACAGAAAGAUGGAAGAUUAUGCUAAUCAUCCCGUGUAGACACAUUUCUUUGUAUACAAAUCAAAAUCAUCUUUAUUUAUUAAAUAACUCUUCUGAACAAA